GGGAGCUUGCUCCUGGAUUCAGCGGCGGACGGGUGAGUAAUGCCUAGGAAUCUGCCUGGUAGUGGGGGACAACGUUUCGAAAGGAACGCUAAUACCGCAUACGUCCUACGGGAGAAAGCAGGGGACCUUCGGGCCUUGCGCUAUCAGAUGAGCCUAGGUCGGAUUAGCUAGUUGGUGGGGUAAUGGCUCACCAAGGCGACGAUCCGUAACUGGUCUGAGAGGAUGAUCAGUCACACUGGAACUGAGACACGGUCCAGACUCCUACGGGAGGCAGCAGUGGGGAAUAUUGGACAAUGGGCGAAAGCCUGAUCCAGCCAUGCCGCGUGUGUGAAGAAGGUCUUCGGAUUGUAAAGCACUUUAAGUUGGGAGGAAGGGCAGUAAGCGAAUACCUUGCUGUUUUGACGUUACCGACAGAAUAAGCACCGGCUAACUC
rnacentral:rRNA from 1 species